CGCUGGUGUCUCAGGGAUGUAAAAUGGAGCAGGAUGCUGGGGGAGUCCUGGCUUUAAACAGUCAAUUUCCAUUGGUGAAAGCUGACAAGCUUAAAACAGCUAAUGUGCCCCACAAGAUGAGGCCUUUGGAGAUUUACAGCUCUCUUCGGCUGAGUGCUCCCAUACGGUGUGUAUGUCAACCAGGGAGCCUUUUAGAGAACCAAGAUAAAGCUUUGCUGAGGCCGCAGCGCCCAGGCAAAUGGAUGGGAGCAAGAGAGAGAAAGCGAGGAGGUUUUUUGUGUUUUUUUUUAAGGCAGGUCGCUGAGCUCACGUCCCUUCCUGCAGACACCGCAGCGGAGUUACUCCAGGUCAAGGACUGCCCUGGACACUGCCUUGGGCUGCAAAGAGGGGCUCUGCCAUGCAGGCCAUGAAUGCUCCAGAUCCCACUCAGCAGAGUCCUCCAAAGGUGCUCUCCUCUUGGCUGGUCCCUGGAGUGGUAUUCCUGAUUCAGGUGUGGAUUUUCCUGGGAUUAUCCAACCCAUCUGCCAGUGAAGCUGAUGGGAGUCUUUUCGCUGACUUCAGUGCCAGUGGGACUAGGCCCUUGGAUAUUCAGCAGUGGGGUGCCAGGGGAGCUCCUCACAUAGGCAUAGUUUACCAUUAGGGAACACUCUCUCCUGGGGUGAAUCGUCAUGGCCCUAUAUAAUGGGGAGUUGAGUAGGGGAACAGCAUCCAUUAGGGAAAAUUACUACUGUGGGUGACACUGGAAACUGGUGAGGGGGGACCAGAGAGGAAGUGAAUUUAAGGCCAAAAGCAGGGGAAAGCUCUGCCAUGUCCUUGGAAAUCCCUUCUCCCAGCUGGACAACUUGGGUUUUGCAGCAGUGAAAGGAAAUGCCCACGAACACUACAUGCCCCUGGAGGCUGGGGGGGCAUGGCGACUGCCUGCAGGCAGCCGCAGCAGUGUUGGCGGUGGGGGAGGAGGCGGGCAGCAAGCGUACAUGUCACCAAUGGAAAUGCCCCAGUGGAACCCAUCCCAAGUUGUAACAUGAGACCAGCACACACACACAGGACCAGGUGAUCAGUCAGGGAGGUGUAAGUGCUUGUUCUGUCUGGCUCCUCCUCCAUCUAUUCCGCCUACCCAGUUUCCACACCAGGAUUUCUGGAGCUCCUGUUGAAACAGGAACUGCCUGUGCCAUCCUAGAGCACAACCUAGCUGAAGGCUCAGCCUGGUCUAUACGGCUGGGCUCCUGCAUUUUAUCAGUAAUGGAAGAUCACAAUCUUGUUUCGUUAUAGCCAAUCAUUUGUAGUGGCAAUAGCUGAGCCUCCCUAUGAUGUAGCCAUUCUGUCUACACUAUAACUACCUGAAUGUGGCUGCUCCUAACAGAGUUGUCUCUAGAGGAGGGUAUAUUCAGGCAUUGGUGCUCUUCACUGUCCCCAGGCUGAUGUAAGGCCUUCAGGGGGUGGUAAAUAACACUGCUGUAAGUUAGAGAAACCCUAAUGCUGCUCUGAGCUGAUGGGCCUAGGAAACAGAGCAAGCAACAGAAAGAUGGCUCUCCCCUGACCAGCCUCCCACCCAGGUCCUGCACCAGCCCAACUCAGGCAGAUUCAAGGACUUGGCUGUUAAACAUAUCAUCUUUCGGCGUGCCUAGUUCUAUAUGCUGCUGCCAUGCCCCUCCUAGGGCUGCCUGCAAUUUCUGACGUUACAAUGGUGAAACAUUACACAGCUGUGCCACAUACAGCUGGGUAAAAAUAGUGCACUUCUAUUUCAGAAAUAGCUCCUACUUGGCAGCUCCUGAGGAGUGAUAGCCUCUCACAAAGGUGAAGGUGAACCAGAUCAAGACAUGGACAACACCCUGGGCCUGAUUGCCCCUGCUUCUGGGCAGGGUGGGUGCAAAAUGCACCAGUGGUUACACAUUGCAUUCAUUUUGCACAGACAUGGCCCUGGGAAAGAAAGGGCAGGAGGGUAGGAACAGCACCUCCCUUGUCCAGUGUAAAGGGCUCGAUUCUGUUCUCCUUCUCCCUUAAAUUAGGAGUAAUGACAUACAAAUCAGUGGAGUCACAUCCAUGUAAAGCGAUGUAAGACCUGAAUCUGGCCCACUGUGGGUGUCUACACAUUCUGUAUAGAAGGGAAAUUAAACUGCAAACCUUUAUAGACUGCUCCUGAUAUAGGGCCCCAUGGUAGGUAGUCAAUGGUUGCUACUGUGUUGUCCCAACUAUGAGAGUGGCACAAGGAGUUUCAGCCCAAAUGCUGUGUAUUGGGCCAGGUACUGACAUUACACUUUUACCAGAGUAAGUGAUUGGAAACCCAUAACAAAACAUCACGCAUAGACUGGUUUAAAAAUGGCGGAACCCGGUCUAAGAUUUGUGUCCCCCCCCCGCCAAAGGUUGAAUGUGUGUUCUGUUUGAUACCAAUCUAAAAUACGCUGCCUACAGAAAACCAUGCAACUUAGAUUGAUUCUGCCUCAGGCUUUUUGAAUGUUUGUACUUACCUGGCAGGGAAAACACCAUGUAUCUGGGUCCAAGAAGGCAGUUUUCCUUAAGCCCUCUCCCAGAUAACUGUUCUUCUGGUGUGGUUUAGUACCUGCCGAGGUGCUGGGGCUUAAAGAUUAUUUUAUGGAAAUGGGAGGCUCCUCCCUAGCUUGCACCUGUGGCCAUUUGGCUGAGGGCAGGCAAAACUUGGGGGCAUCCAAACCUUAAGCCUCCAGGAUUGGGCCUGCAUGUAGGAUGCCUGCCAAAAUAUGUUGGAAACAUCUGAAGCCCCUGCUGCAAAUGGAGGAUGUUUGCUGGUUGUAGAGCCACAUAUGGUUCUGGACUGACUUACGAAUUUGGACUUAAUUUGGCUUGGAAAGUGAAAAAUGUCUUUAUUUAAAAAAAAAAGUUUGAAUGCGUGUACCUAGCUUUGCAAAUGAAGGUUAACCAACUGAGUCUGAUGAGGCCUGAAGAAAAGAAGCCUGGUUAGAGGGACUGGACCAAAUGACCCCUGAGAAUUAGGCUGACUGUGGAAAUCCUGGAAAUCUGGGAUAUCAUCUGGGAAAUCCAGGACACUGCCCUCCCCUCCCUCUGGUGCUGUCACAAGUCAGUGGGGGCAGGGCUACAUGCUGGGCAGGCAUCGGUGCCUGCCUGCCCACCUGCAAGGUGCUCUGAGCUGCUCCGACUCCCAACCAGACUGCGCCCCAUGCCCCUGCGUUUCUGCUGCAUUCAUUAUAAUUCCCAACACCUGGCUGGAUCCAGCCUCUGAAAUCCAGGACUGUCUCAGCUAAACUGGGACAUACGGUUACCCUACUGAAGUCCUUCAUGAUUUUAUGAUGUCGCCCUCCCUGUCAGAAUGUGCUCCAGUUAUUCAAAGUGAAGCUAGAGAGUCAUGCAGCUACUGGACACAUCUACACAUGCAUUAAGUUUAGUACCUGUAAUACGUACUAAAUACUCUGUAAUCUGCGCUACCGUGUAGUUGUGCUGGUGCACAUCUUGUAUGUGAUGCUAAUGUGCAGUAGAUUAAUUCUAGUUUCACCAUGCUUUCACCAUGAUGCGCUAAUGUGCAGUAGAAUUAGUCUACCAUGCUUUUAGUGUCAUAUUGUAGAUGCGUGUGAAAUGGGCCCAUGCCUCUUCUGGCUGAUGGAGUUCACUGAAGGGCACUUUCUAAAAUCAUUAACCCUCCCUCAAAGAAAACAACCCCUGGCCAGGCUGAAAUGGUGGGCUGAUUGUCAAGCUAAAUCCAAUACUCAGUGCCAAUUGGCCCAUCAGUUACUCCUCUCCUCUCCCUUACUCAGUGUCUCACUCCCCAUCCUGGGCUAAAUCAAUGAAAAGGUGAGAAGGUCCUGGUGACCAACCAAGGUCUGCACUUGUCCCUUGCCCAUAUAUCCUACAUGCCUCUGAGUUGGGAGACAAGUCAGCACAAGGGCAAAAAAUCUGCUCUGUUGAUGUUGAUGGGUGAUCUGCUCAUAGCUCUGGGCACAAGGUAAAUGCUUGUGCCCACUGUGCUUUCCACACCAUCAACCCCAGCUGCUAUUGUCAGACUUACAUCCCUGGCAGGAAGAAAUGAGAUGGCUCUUAGAUGGUUUUGAUCAUUUACCUUGAAUAUAUCCUAGAGAAUUGGGAGGGCACCUGCUCCUCCUCCCCAGGGACCACUGGCUGUGGGAUGCUGGGGGAUCUAUCAUAUCUCCUCUCCUUUCACAUGAACACAUGACACCUCUUGGAGAAGCCACGUGGUGAAGCCACGUGGCAUCUUGCGCCCAAAUGCUUCUAAUGCUCUGACAUUGCCCAACAUAUGUCUCCUCCUCAGCAGGUGUGGCUAGCACUGCCAGGCAGGUGGCACAAUGCCUGGAGGGGAUAAGCAUAUGUGCAAAGAGCAGCUGGCUUAAACUAAAUCCAGCCAAAGAGCAGAGAGCCUGCUACCAGAGGGUGCUCUCUGCAACUAAGCUUCUGACUUUACCCACUAGGGAAAUCACUUGCCUACCCAUCAUCAGGACAACAAAUAUUUCAUUGGUCACUCUGGGCUCAGUGGUGCAUCUGCACCACAGAGCUAACAAGAGUAGCAAAAAGUUAUCUCUGGCUGGUCAGAAGCCUCUAUAUUUUUCCAGCAGACAAGGGUCUGGAUUUGGAGAUAUCCUUCAGUCAUCUGUAGACUGGACUUGAGUAACUCACUGUGCCUGUGGCUGAGAAGCUACUGUGGUCUCAGCACAUAACAGUGCGCUUCUAUGUUGUGAACACCUUGCAGUACACUGCCCUGGGUCUCCCUUCAUUCAUGUUUCCAAUUCUAGGUCCUCCUGCUAAUUGUUGAGGUUCUCAACAGCAAUUCUCCAAAACGGGUCUGAACUAGAGCCCAGCAUUGUAAUCCCCAUGGGUUUCAGAAAUGCUCAACUCUGGAUCUGACCUUUAUGGCUCAGGCACCUCCCUGUUAAUUAAACGAUUUAUGUUUCUUAAAUACCAUCCAGUCAGUGGUCACCAUGAGUAACAGCUGAACGCUGGGUCAUUUGUACUUUCUCCCAAGCGGGGAAUGAGCCCCAGAUGCAAAAGCUCUCCUGCUUUUGCCUUAAGAGCAGAAGGAAAUGUUGCAGAGUCUGGAAACGGGAUAGAAAGGCAAGAGGAAAUGCAACUUGAAAGAGACGGGCAGGGGAGACAAAGAAGCAUUGAUCGCACAGUCUAAUCGUCUCUCGACUGCAGGGCUUCCUCCAUCUCUCUCACCUACCAGCUGCAGGCUAUAUCUGAGCUGCAAUAUUACAGGAGCUUCUUUUCCAUCUCCCCUGGAGCUCUGCUGCUUGGCUCAGCCCUGCCUUGUACCAUUAGAAGAUUUUCCUGGCUUCCCCAUUACCCAUCAUGCCCACAAAACAGAUCAGCUUCCCUCCUCCCACCUCCAGUUUACCAGCUUGGCCUUGCACUGAAACCCAGAAUCUCCCUGCUUUUCUUUUCCUGCUUGAAGCACUCUUUAAAGGCAGCCCAUGCUCUACCUGGUGAGCACUAAUGAACUGCAGUGCAGAUCAAUAGACCGAUUGGAAAUGUUGUCAGCUCUGUGGCAGCACCUACCUUAUUAUCUUUAAUCAGGUUUUGAAUUUUCUUUUUGAAAAUGUUUCCUCUGGCACUGGAUAGAGAGGGCAGCAUGGGAGUCAUGACUGGGGUCUGGUACAAUGCUGGGUAUGCUUUGCCUGAUGUUUUUCUGGCUAAGAGUGUAACACAUUGGGCAGUCUCUCAGGGUAUGCCCUAGCAAACGUGGAUGGGCUGGGUAGGUGGAGCAUAGCUGCUGAGGCGUAGAGCUCUCAGAAGCGUGGUUGGGAUGUGUGGGGGUGGAGGUCAGCGAAGCAAGGCUAGAUUCUGUAAUGGUCUCAAUCUGGAGCUUUCAGUAGACUGGAGUGGAGUAUUGAGGGUGGCUGAGACUCCUUUAGAAAUGUGGUUUUGAAAGUCAA